CUUUUUUUUUUUUUUUUUUUUUUUGGCUUCUUUUAUUAUCUGUAAUAGUCUUGGAGUUCUUGGAAUUAAUACAGAAAUUAAUGGGGUAGAGAUGAAAUCACGGAGAGCAAGUGAUGUGGUCCAUCAAUAGUUGAUUCCUGCAUGUCUUUUCGUGUUAUUUCUUCAACCAAAAAAGGAGGAGUCAAAAGAAUUAGUACUAAUAGACAACAAGUUGGUUGAAUAAGUUGCUCAAAGUAACGUUGGAAAUUGACAUAAUUUAAAUUAGCAGCUAGCCUGAUCUUGAUCUCACGAGAACCGUCAUUCAAUGAAAACUUUUUGCAUGGACGCAGAUCCAUCGGCAGUUCUCUUCUGCUGCUUCUUUCUUUUAGCCGUCUAAUUAUUCCUCAAAGCAAUUUCGUUUCUUUUUUCCCUUCUCUUUUUCAAAACUUGCCUGUCUGGCUCUACUAUUCUUAUCCUCCUUCCUUUUUUUUUUUUUACACCAGCAAAUUUAUUUAUUUAUUUUUGGGGUUUUGGGUAUGUAGGUAGCUGGGCUAGCAACGUUGGGUAUGAAUCUAAAGGAGAGAUGGAUGUUGCAUGUUGGUGCAGGUGACAUAAAGAAUUUCAAGUCCAACCUUAGAUUAAGAAUUUCUGUUCAUUACUUUUCCUUUUAUCUAAUUAACAGAAGAUUCCUUUUCCCGAGUUUUUGUCUUCUCUAGGAAAAGGUAAUAAGGAGACAGCGGAUAAGCUGUGAGAGGAUGAGAAGAACGGAAGAGGAAGAGGAAGACUACUGGGUAAAGUAUCUCCUAUCACAUAUACGGUACUACUACUUAAUUAGUACCGUAUAAUAAUAAUUAAAUAAAAAGGCACUGCAUCUUCCAUCUUCAAUCCGCAUCCAUCCCUAUUAACUUCAGUCGUUUUUGCAUUUAUAUAAAAUGCGUGAAGAAACUACCAACUGUCUGUACUACCAUCCCUCUACCAACCUAACCCAUUAUUAUCUUCGUCAUGAGCUACCCACCCAACCAACAGAACCCCCCCCCCCCCCCCCCGGGGCGGAGACCCACAAAAACCAAAAUAUGAAGGAAAAAAAAAGGGGUGGGGGUGGGGGGGUUUCCAAACUUCGUCCUAACACAUAAGUUGACACACGUCUGGAAAUUAAAACACUAAUAGGGAGAUUUAAUUAAAACCUCUCGUGAGUGUGUGUGUGUGUGUGUGUUUUUUUUUUUUGGUUCCUCCCUUUUCUGCAUUUAGAUUAGCAAGCAUUCCGAGUAGACUUAUGAUUUGAUCCACUGUCAUCGACGGUUGAUUCUCUCCUGUAGUAAUAGUAAGUAUUCCAAGAUAUAUUGAUGCGCGCGUUUACUAGUUAAGUUACUACGAGUGAUAAAUGUUUGCAUGUCAUAUGGUUAUUACGAGUUUGGGAUUAAAAUUUAUAACGCUUUUUUUUAAAAAAAAAAAAAAAACCUUUUGGAAAGACCAACUUCUUUUGUUAAGUACGAAUGGUUUUUUCCUCGAUGAAGCUAAAUAACGCUGCACGGAGGAAAGCAGAAUUUGCUAUACUUUCUGGAACCUAAUGCUCGCUUUGCCUAUGCAAUGCAAGGGUUCCUCUUCCCCCUUCCUUCCUCAUGAUGAAAGCUUGCAAAAAUCCUGUACUCUUGGCAUAAAGCAGCUGCGGUCAAAACGAGAAUAGGAAAUUGAGGGUGGAAAACAUACGCUCACUUGAAUAGGUGAUCGAUCUGCACAGUCUUAUAUAUCAUUCUAAAAGCUUUUUCGCAAGUUUUAGUCAUCUUCAUGACUUCAUCUUCUUCAUACUGCUUGACCAACUAAAGAAAAGUUUUAUUUACUUUAAGCAUUAACUAGUCGGGGACUUGAAUGUAGCAAAAGUAGUAUCGUGAUCCUGCAACCUAAGUUUUCUUCAACUGAAAAUAUAUUCUUAUUUAGGAAAAUGGAAAAAAAAAAAAAGAAGAAGAGGAGGAAAUUAAGGUGGGAAGGAAGAAGAACAAUUACUAUAUAAGAGCGAAAACAACAUGUUUAAAAUGAAAAAAAGACUAAUUUUGGAUGCUCAGCUCAGCUAUGUAUUAUCUUAUCCCCAUUAGUAUGUAUGUAUGCAUGGAUGCAUGGAUAGAUUAUUUUGGUUUUCAGGGUCUUCCCUCUCUUCGUCUGGCCUAAGUAAAAGGGUAAAAACUAAGAGAGGCCUUGAAAAAAAGGGAAAACAAAGGCCCCUUGGCAUUGGCAUAAUUGUGGAAAAUUCACAAGGAGACGAUUCAUACACCUAGGACUAGUGUACCUUUUUAUUUUAAUCCUUUCUUUCCUCCAAUCCUUUACCCUUUUUCAAAGGUGUUAGGUAGACACAUUAGAAGCUUCCAUAAGAUAUUUUUUUUCCUCUCACUUUCACUACCCAAAGAAAAAUUGCUUAACAAGGCUUAGGGGGCCUAUCUUUUUCUUUCUUUCUUUCUUUUGUCAAAAAAAUAAUAAUAAUAAUUGCAUGCCUCUCUCUCUCAAUGUAUUAAUGGGGUAAUUAUUGUUCUCUACCUAAAUAUACAAGUUCGGAGUCCCCAGCUCCCCGCCAACAUCACAUGCAGGACCCUCCCCCCCCAUCAAAGAUCAAAGUAUCUAUAUAACCACUCAUUCAUUUCGCCAUUAAUUAAAGCUGCAUGAGAUUUGUUUUGUCAUCAUAGUUUAGUACUUACUACUGAGUGUCUGAUUAGAUUGGAACGGCCAACGCACCAUGCAAACAAUACAUGCAUCUUCUAUCCUCCCUUCAGCAUCCAAAGAAUACGUUUUGACUUUUUGUCCAUCCUUCCCUGAGGCCCCCAUAGAGGACAUGGGACGUCUCAUAACGACUAGCGCAGGUUUGAUUGGAGCAUGCAAUGGAAGUUUGAUUGGAGCUAGCUCGCGCAGGUUUAAUUCUUUUGACAACGGAAACUUUCUUUAACCAUAAGUUGUUGCGUGCAUGGUCAAAUGGAUUAGACCCGUCUGCUACUACUCACAGUGUUUGAUUUUUAAUUCUUGAAAUCCGCUCCUCUUCCACACCAUCCUCACAAUAAUUAGCAAAGAAAGCCAAAAAAAAAUGAUACUACCAUCCUUGGUUUAGUUGGGGCCGUAGCAAGCGAGAGAUGAUUUAAAGUAAACAAAGCACUUGUGGACUAUCAUCAUUGACGAUGAUGAGAGUGACUUGGUACUUAAAAUUACCUCAGGGUACGUUUGGUUCUACAGAAUUAGAAUUGAAAUUCUAUAGAAUUGGAAUUCUAUGAAUUGAAAUUUCAAGUCAUUGAAAUUCUUUUGUUUGGGAAAUACAUAGAAUUGAUAUAGAAUUCAUUCAACGAAUUUGCUUAUCUUAUCGGCCAAAUCUCCCACGCUGUUGAUGUAAACUUGUCAGCUUUUUUUUUUUUUUUUUUUUUUACUUUUCUUCGCCACAACCGGAAAAACAAAUAUCGGUCCUCAUGUUGUUGUUGCGUGCUUUCCUUUUCUUUACCACGUUUCGUUUUUGGGUUUUUCUUGGUAGGGGGCCGGGGGAGAGGGGGCGGGGUGUGGGUUGAGUUGCUCGCCCAGCCCAUUCCCGUUCGGGGCUCCACUUCUCAUGGGCUCGCUUGCGGCGGAGGGUCCCAUCCCAUCAGCUGACGCCACCCCCAACCCUCUUCAGACUUCAGAGCGUAAAAGUCCAUGGUACCCGCCGGUACAGUAAGUUUCUGCCUUAAAUUGCCCAUUCGAUUUCCGUACCACCACCGGGACCCACGUCAAAGUUUGUUAGUGAAGCGCUUUGCCGUUACUUUAACAAGGGGAGCAUUAUAUUUAUUUACUUAUUUUAUUGCUAAAAGCAGACCCAUAUUGAUCAGAAAAAAAUAUGAGUUAGGUUAGGUGAAAAAGACAGAGCAGUAGAGUCCAGUCGACCUGAGGACGAAGACCAUAUAUUUGCUAAUUUCAUGCUCAGCUAAACUGCUAAAGUGACAUUUUAUUAUUAUUUUUCCUUUCCCCUUCCGCCUAUUCCGCGACGUGCCUCAUUUUUUAUUUUUAACUUUUUACCAACUGGGCUGCUUCGUAUGCUACUACUAGAACCCAAAAUUCCCGCCUACUCUUGAUAUUUUAAUUUUAAUCAUUAGAUCAAGUAUAUCUUACCAUUAUUAUUAGCUAAAAUUUGGACACUUAUUUCUUUUAAAUAAUGUAGCCGCUAACACUCUCUUUUUUUUUUUUUUUAUCAGCAACGAUAUAUUUGUAUAACCUAUUCUAUCCUAAUCUAGGGGGAGGGGGAGCCUAAGGAGGCUGUUGUAGGAGCUAACGGAUAUACAAAUCCAACUAGACCAAGGGAAUGUUAUGGUACAACUCUUAGAUUUUUUUCGCUGCUGGUGAGGUUUGAACUCUCACCAACAGUCCAAGGAAGGACUUAAAUCCCUCCCUGGUGGCCACUGAGCCAUUGGCGCAGUGGUUAGCCGCUAACACUCUCACCCCUUUCGAUCAUUGAAAAUUCUAUCCGUUUGGAUUAGCUGUUUUUGGGGUUGUUUUUCAAAAACAGCACUGUAGCAUUUCGUUUUUCAAAUACAAGUCCGUUUGGAUUAGUUGUUUUUGGGGUUGUUUUUCAAAAAUUAUAUAAAAAACUUUUACUGUAGAUGUUUUAUGCAUUAUUUUUAGAUGUAUUUUUAAAACAUAUUUUCGAGUAUUUUUAUAAUUUAUAAUUUUUAUAUUUUUAUAACAAUAUAUAAUUAUACAUUUAUAAAUAUUUAUAAAUAAAUAAAUUUAUAUAAAAAUAUAUAAAUGUAUUAUAUUAUAUAUAAUACAUAAUAUAAAUAUAUUUAUAAAUGUAUAAAUUAUAAAUGAAUAUUAUAUAAAUGUAUAAAUUAUAAAUUAUAAAUUUUAUAUUUUUAUAUUUAUAUACAUUUAUGCAUUUAUAAUACAUUUAUUAAUAUUUAUAAAUAAAUAUAUUUAAAUAUUUAUAAAUAAAUAUAUUUGUACUUUUAUAAAUAAAUAUAUUCAUAUAUUUAUAUAUAAAUGUAUUAUAUUAUAUAUAAUACAUAAUAUAAAUAUAUUUAUAAAUGUUUAAAUAUAUUUCGAUCAUUGAAAAUUCUAUAUUUUUGACAUACAUCAAGGUAAAUUCAUUGGAGAAAUAAAGGUUGAAGAGUGUGUGUGUAUUACAAUGGGAUUAAUCCAAUACAAUUCUAUUUCUGAUGAUGGUAUAUCAACUAUUAGUAUAUCUUUUUGACAAAAUACACACACAUACUAUAUAUAUAUAUAUAUAUCAAGUAUUAUACUAUGAAAUGGUCUGGAGGUCCCCACUCACACAGCUUCACUUAUGCACAUGAUGACUACAUGACAAAAAGAGUUGUUACAAAGCAUACGUACCUGAGACGGUAACAGGCCUCACGUCCACUUUUAGCAGUGCCACGUAGAAUAUGGUAAAUCUCUGACUAUAUCUUAUCAUUAAAUUUUUUUUUCUCCUGCUCAUCGGAGAGUGGGUGAGGAUCUAAUUAUUCAGGCCCAGAAACAUCACAUUUAUCGCAGAGUUCACAAGUAGUGUUCAUAGGGCCUAGAAUAGGUUGUGGCUGUGGUUUUGCGACAGGAAAGGGGAAUGGUUGUACAGACAAGUGGUAGGCAAUGGUCCUGGCGGGGAUGGGGGGAGGGGGGGAGUUGGUCAUUUUGUUGGCAUGAUCGACGGGGACUGCCAGACCUUUGUCUAAACAAACAAACAAACAAACAAACAAAGCUAAAAGGAGAACAAAAAAACAUGAGCUGCAGCUGCCAAAGAAAAAGACAACUUUUUGCCUCAACCUAUUACGGGUCCUGGGAUCAAAGCUCUUUGCCUCAACUUAUUAAGCCCCGUUUUCUUUUAUUUAAAGCUUAUUAAGCUCCUAAAGUAACCGAAUAUAGGAUUUUGGAAGGAAGGCUUUUUGAUAUCAAAAAAUUAUGGACGCAAUGCAAAACCUCCCAAGCCAAUUUUAAGUGAUUAAAACUUUACAAGCGGAACCAAGCUCUUAUUGGUAAUACCCCAAUACUGCUACUGCUUACUAUAUGUAUGUUCCAUAGGGUAGCGUAGGGUAGGAUACGGAAGAGCUGUCUAAUCUAAUCACAAUGUUCGAGUUUGCUUCCGUUUUGGUCAUACUACUGCAUGAUACCGACUACAUAUUGCUAAUGUCGCAAAAAAAAUAAUUAAACUUACGAGCCUAAUUCAAGUAGUAAACAAAAUCAAUUAGUCUAAAGAUACAAUAACGAUUGGAGCAUCUCUUUCUUUACCUUCCCCCUUCUAGAAACCACUUGGGUGGAGAUUUUGCAUUGGGUAGGUGGGCAGGAUUCUUGUGAUCCUUCCCCCAAAUGCACCUGCACCUGCUACUUUACUAAUUGAACCUCCAAAACCUACACACCACAUCCUCAAUAAUAAUCAUCAUCAUCAUGAAUGCAUAAAAACUACUACUGCACACUUGUUUUUUUUUUUUUUUUAGUUUAAAAUAAAUAUGGGGGUUCUCUCUUGUCAUAGAUCUCCACACAGGAUUUCUGGCUCUAAAUUAAUAUCCUGCAUGCUACUACAAGUCCAAUUUUAUCUCUUUAAGAGAUCUCGGCCAAAGGGUUAGGUGAGAGUUUAAAAACGAUGGCAUGAAUUCAUCUUCGUUCGAAGGUUGGAAGCAGUGUUUUGAAAAUCGGACCGGCCGGUUCGACCGAUUGAACCGCAAACCGGUCAUGGUACCGGUCCGGUUUAAUGCUAGGGUUGACUUUGGCAGAAAAUCGGUCAAAAACCGAUUGAACCGCGAAAACCGUCGAACUGAAUUUGAACCGGCGGUUUCCGAUUUUCAAGUUUUCCUCUUUUUUUUUUUUUUUAGUUUUACAAAAUGCAACUAUCAAGAUUUAAACUCAAGACCUUUGUAAUAGAAGACCAAUGUAGUAACCAUUGCACCAUCACAUCUUAUUAAUUUUUUUUGAUAACUUAUUUAUAUAAAACAAAUACUCAUAUUUCUUUUGUUCCAUUUUUCUUGCAAAAUCUCAUCCUCUCAUGACUCUUUUUUUUCUAAUUUUCAACUCUCUCUCUCUCUCUCUCUCUCUCUCUCUCUCUCUCUCUCUCCAUCAUCUUUUCUUUUGUCACUCUUUUUUAAUCAAACCUCUUUAUUUUUAAUUUAUUGAUGUUUUCUUCCAUCUUUUAAUUUUGUUUUUGUCCAUUAAAUUAAAAAAGUUAAAAAAAAUUAUUUUUCUUUAACUCAAAUUAUUUAAUGCCACAACCACUCACUUUUAUCUCAUUUUUUUGUUUCUUAUCAAAUUUGCAUUUCUAUUUUCGAUUCUCUUUUUUAAAUUGCAAUAUCUAAAUUCCAAAACGUAAAAUAAAAUUUAAGUUCACAAUGUCUAAAUUCUCAUAGACGUGAAUUUUGUAUAAUUUUAAAAUAUUGUGAUAUUUUUGAAUUGGAUUUAAGAUUUUUUUGAUAGAUAUAAUUGAAAUUGACAUGAAAUUUAUUUGUUUUAACUUAUAAUUUUAAAAUUUUAUUUUUAAAAAUCCAAAUUAUUCAAAAAUAGUAAACUUUUCAUCAUAUAAAGUAUUAAAUUAUCCAUUACAUGUCUUAUUUUGUGCAUAUAUAUAUUUAUAUAAAUUAUUUUUUAAAAAAUUCAUUGAACCGAGGUUGAAUCGGUUCGAUCGAUUGAAUCUCGACCCUUUUACUUCACCGGUUCAAUUAACCGGUCCGAUUUUUAAAACAUUGGUUGGAAGUUGGAACUUGGAAGGAGCAGCGGCCAGUACCGUUGUAGAUCCUCUUUUCUUCUUCUUCUUGGAAGAAAUGGGAUUCAGUGAUGAAUGAUAUUAUUAUUACACAGAUUUCACAUCUAAUACUUAGUGCCUCCUCUUUAGUCUUUUCAACCAAAUAACGUCUUGACUUUUCGAGGAUUAUUUUUUGACACGUUUUCAACUACUUUUUAACUUGUUCCUGAUACUCACAACUUCAAAAGAAAUUUUUCUAUGAAAACCUUCCAAAAGUCUCGAGAACUACCAUUCAAACAUGCUUUAAAAUUUUCUUCUGGAUGAGGCCGCGUGGCUUUCAAUUUCUAGGAAGCCCUAAAACUGAUCCUGAUGAAACAAAAAAAGUGGAAAUUGAGUUUUUUUUUAAAAACUGAAGGAAGGAAGGAAUAAAAUAUAUAUAUAUUUUUUUAAAAAAAAUGUGAAAUCGAGUUUCACUUUCCUGCUCUUCCAACAGAUGAGAUCACAGGAUAAGAGUUGAAAUCAUCUGUUGAUGAUAAAAAAGUAACCGUCACCAAAUUUGGAUGAGGAAUGUGAGGUCAUCAAAGGCAGACGGACUGAAAAUGCGCAUGCGGCGCGCACGAUAGCAGGAGCCCAGCCGGUGAGAGUAGUUAACGAGUUUGGUGAGAUAUGAUGAAAGUGAUGGGGCCCACACAAACAACAAAGCAGUGAUUACGGUCCGGAGCAGCACGGCCAACGGUUGACUCCUGACUAUCGAUGUUGACUUGUUUAUAUUAUCAUCGAUUCCAUGAUUAAUGUUUGCCUUUCAUGGCAGUCGGUCAUCUCAUCUUCUUCUUCUUCUAUUCUAAAAGUAAUCAGCCAACUCCGUCGGCUACCUUAGUAGUGGUAAAACACACAGAAAAUCGCAGCAGCAAUGCAGCCUUCUGAUCUAGAGGAUCCUCCCACGUCGUAAUAAUAGAUUCUAAUGAGUUUGAGUUUGAAAUUUUAAUACAUCUAAUCGUGAUAAUGAAAUUAAUUCUUAUGUUAUUAUCAGGGCACAAUAUCAUUAACUAAUGAAAAUACUCGAAGUUUUUUGUGUUUUUCUUCAUCCCUUUCUUGGCGUCAACAAGAGAGCUCUGUGCCAUUACAGAAUCCAACCAACCGAGUUCACGGAAAAUUGUGUUUUGAGAAUUUCACGGGAUGGAUUGAGAAAUUUGACGAAGGUUUUGAAAUCCAUCCAAAUUGCUCUGGUUGUUUGAAUUACUUAAGAGGUAAUUUGGGCUUACAAUUUAUCAAUUAUAUAAAUACAUUCACUUUAAAUGCUAGAAUAAUGAGUGAUUUAUAAAUUCAUAUACCUCCUCCCAAAUAAUCUAAACAACUAGAAAAAAUUCGACAAGAUCGAUUAUCACUCAAUCGAAACGCAUGCGUUUCAUGCUUUAAAAGUUUAAAACCCGUCAUCACACAAGUAGCUAAAAACGGCGGGACCACAGAAAGCAUUUCAUUGCGGAGCAAACAAAAGGUCUGGCAAAGAUAACCACAAAUCUGUGAGGAUGAAGCAGUCCAAACAAGGCUGCUAGCGAAUUACGCAAGACAAGAGCUUGGAGAUUGCAAGAUUCGCAGGGUGGGGGUGAAGGAAAUGAUCUUCACUUCAUGUGGAAAAUUGAGAGUUGAAAAAAAAAAAAAAAAAAUCUGCAGUUCGAAUCCUCGAGCACCUGCUUCAGCGUUAAUGCGGGUUCCGGUUCUGGCAUUAAAUUAAAUAGAUAGUGAAACGUAAUUAAUUGGGCUACCAUACUUUUAGUAAUUAAUUGGAAAACUAUGGCACACCAACUUUUAAGUGGAGUGGAUGUGUACAAUAUUUUAUACUACAAAAAAGUAACACAAAGAAACCAAUAAAAAAGAAAGAAAGAAAAGGUAUGUUGAAUUCGUCGGUUCAACUUGUUAACUUUCUUGCAUGUUUGGAUCUAACAGAGUCAGAUCCGAAGGGUGUUAACUCUAUUGUUUUGGAUGACGGUCGCCCUGGUUGUCCAGUUUGAUCUGUAGCCAUCCUUUCUUGAAGCCCAACAGCUGCAUUCAUGAAAUGGGCCACAGUGUUUAUGACACAUUUACCAGCACCAUGGAUCGGGAUGCCCAAAGGCAUAUGCUCUUCUCCCAAAUGGACUUUCAUGCUUUUAAGUGUGGCACAGAAUUAUGCUUCCCUACCCAAUCCUUUUUUUUUUUUAACGAAGAGAGCUCUGAUGAGGAAAGCAACCUCUCAAAACCAAGAGUGAGGUCGUCGCUUUACAGUUUGUAAUUUUCGGUUGGCUCUGGCCAUAAUUCCUUGGCGGGGUGCUUUCUAGCCCGCUCGUAUUGUAAAACCGAGCGCUGAAGUUCCCGGCGUGGCCAGUGCGCCUUAUUACUAAUGGGCUUUUUGUGUUUUGUUUGGGCCUUUACAUUUCAUUCGUUUGGGUAAUGCUUCAAUUUAUCUCUGGCUGCCGGGCGCAUCCCAAGCCAACGAAAAAAUUUGGGGGAGUGGCUUUUUCUUUUUGGGAACGGGGAGGGUGUGUUCGGAAAGGGGGAAAGCGCACGGUUAAAGACUUAGAAGGCUAUGCUCAAGCUCAAACCAAACUUCGAGUAUCAUGUAAAUUAUCUCAAGUAACACACUUCGAUGCAAAACAAUAAAAUGUUUGAUAAGAAAUAAAAAGACCAAAGUUUGUCACGUGAAAACGUUGUAGCGGUUGCUUGGAUCCUGCCUGAGAAGCCAGUACUUGACAAACAAGGGAUUAUGGUCUGAGCAAAUAACACAUAACAGAGUACAAAACACAGGCAUUUUCUAAGCAAAUAUUGCAGUCAAUCUAGGUUUCUUUUUGAGGAGCCUUCUUGGCAGCCUCUGCAGCUGCUUUCUCCUCCUCAAUUUCAGCAACAAUUGCAUCAAUUUCAGCUUCUUCAAGUUGCCUCAGCCCAUCUUUUUUCGUCAUCACAGCUACUUCUAUAUUCUUCCCACCACUCUCAACGACCUUAAUACAUGACAUUAACAAGUCAAAAGCGUGUGUAUUUAACUCAACAGAUCAAUAAUUUACUCCACAAAUAAAGCGACAAUGCCCAAAAAAAAAAACAAACGAAAGGCUAAAACCCAUCUGAAAAUGGUUAAAGGCAGCUUUUUUGGGCUCCAUUAUGGUAAUUAAACAUGUAAUCUGCUCAAUACGCUUUGUCACUCAACGUUGAACUAAGAAGUUCACGGUGGCAGUCUCAAAGGAAUUCAAAACGGAUUAUUAAAUAUAACAUUUCAAAAACUUUAUGAGCUCUGUAAAACAUUUAAUUGGUGCAGCUAAAUCAUGGUUAAAUAUGAAUGGGUCGAAAAAGAAGAGAGCAAUGCUGAAUUCCAAGGUGAUGGUCAUUACUGUGAGCACAAGAUGAUCACAAAUGGGUAACACAAGUAUUUAACAAAAAGAAUUCCCGUAAGACUGCAUUACUUGUUUGUUAACCAUAGCUGCUAGGAAAAAUUACUCCCUCAAGGACCUUUCUAUGCUUUAGGCUCACGGAAAUCUGGAAAGAGGAAUUGAGAGGGCCUUUUGCAAAGGAUGCGAGGAUGACAGUUGUUAUACAAUACAAUGAUCUUCUCAGAAAAAUCUAGGAUAAACAUAGGAGUAUUCACAACUACAGCAUAUGAAGCUUCCCUGUGCCUGCCAUGAAUAUAACAGCAGAACAAAAACAGGAGAUAAACAAAAAUUAGGAAGUCCAAAUUACAUUUACGUGAAAUGUACUGCUAUAUUCCAACAACACCCUAAACCCAUAAACCAAUUAGGCAUCCUUCCCUCUGUCCAAAAGGCCAGAAAAACAAAUGCAAACACAGGAUCAUAGAGCCAUCUUUUUUUUUUCCUCUUUUGCCAAUAAACCAUGACCAAAUUUAGCCUCAGAGCAUGAUAAGCAGGAGCUGCUUAAAAUUUACAAGAAAUUCCCAACAAGGGCAUGCCAGAGAUAUUUUGUUAUUUCAUUCAAUGAUUUUGCUUGUCAAUGCUUUAGGCAAUGCAAGUUGAGUUUUAAGUUGUAUCCAAAGUGCUCAAAAGCUUGCCUGUUAGAGAUGCACAAACCAAUACAGAUUUAAGUGGUUACAAGCAAAAGAAUAUAAGCCACAACCAUGUGCUUGCUAAGAAUAGUAGAUCAGAUGUUGCACAAAAUCCAAAUGAAAAGAGUUAAAAAGUCAUAGAGUAAUAUAGAAUAAGCCGAAAAAAAUUCCAAGACAGCAGCAGCAUACGACAAACAUAAACAAGGCAUUUGCUAUUUUGCUGGGAUGACUUACUUCAAGCAAUGCACGAAUAGCUAGUUUUACAGUUUCUUGGCCAGCUGUUUCCUUGUAAUUCUUCUCCAGAAACUCCCUGAUAGAGUUUGAGUUUCUCCCAGUUGCAUUGGCUUUCCACGCUGAAAAUGUUCCUGAAGGAUCUGUCUGAUAUAACGCAGGGACACCUGUGUAUGGGUCAAAGCCAAUUAUCAAAGUGGAAAGGCCAAAUGGUCUUACACCACCACUUUGUGUAUACUUCUGCUGAAGUCCAGCGAUGUAGCGCGUAAUAUACUCAACGGUGACCGGAUCCUCAACUGUAAGUCUAUGACUUUGACAUUCAAUACGUGCCCGGUUUAUCAAAACACGAGCAUCUGCUUUCAGUCCAGCACAGGCCAAUGCAAUAUGAUCAUCUAAAUUCACAAUCUUUCUAACCGAUCUGAAAAUAAGAACCACCAAUUAAAAAUAUUCAGCAAGAAAUCUAAGGCAGGCAGAGGGCAAACAAUAUAUAUAGUGCAACCAUGUUUCAAUAACUAAUAGCCAUUGCAUACUCACUUCAAACCUAAAAUCAUACUAAGCAAGAGAAUUAACAAGCAAUAAAACACACUCACAUGCACACAAAGAGGAAACGGGCUUAGCCAAGAAAUUUUGGCUGAUUAACACAAUUUCACAAGUACUUCAAGAAGAAUGAGCCAGGUUCCUCAGUAAUCAAUUUAUACACAAAUUAAAAAUUUUUCCGGAUUUGUUACCCCGGCUUCACCACUGCUCCCUAAAAUCAAAAAGCCCCCUUUUAUUUUUUCCAAGGCACUAAAAUCAAAAAGCUGACCGAGCACAGGUUAAUCUUUUUUUUUUUUUUUUUCCAAACGGAGAAUCAUUUCAGUACAAGAAAACCCGCAUCUUUCAUGCAGCCUUAAUCAAUAGAUCAGAUUAAAAUUAGAUUCCCUAGAAAAAAAAACUUCAAUUCCAAAACCCUAAAGCCUAAACCCAAAUUAGCUUGGUAACAGCCCACAAUAACCAACCAAAAGUUGCUCCGACUAACAGGGUACCCAGAAUUUCGAUUAAGUAACAAACCUAAACAGUAGCUAUGAAGAUGGAAUAUAUAAAAGAAAAGAACAAAAAAAAAGGGAUGGGUGAAUGAAUAGAUUUGAGAAGUUGGACCUACCUGGAGUCUUGAAGCUUAGGAGUAGACUUCUUCUCGACACCAAGGACGAUAGUGUCGGUUCCACGGACACCAACGGCGGCGUUUCCUUUCCGGACGGCCUCGAGGGCGUACUCCACCUGAAAAAGAUGUCCGUCGGGGGAGAAAACAGUAAUGGCUCUGUCGUAUCUAGCCAUCUAUCUGUGCCUGUAUAGGGUAUGCUACGUAUUCGUACAGUUUUUUUUGGGGUUGGGCUUGUGGUUUGGGAUCUCUGGCUCGACACUUUUAGACUUCCAGGGAAGAGAGAGAGAGGGAUGAAAGCGUGAAGAAGGGGAAGAGGAUUCAGAGGGAACUUGGGGGAGAAGUCACCAGUAGCACACGAUGUCGUUUCCAAUUACUUUUUGUACUACAAGUAACAAGUGACUAGUCCCAGUAGAACUAUAUAGUUUUUUUUUUUUUUUUUUUUCUUUAGCGGAAACCAAUGUUUUCAAACCCGGACCGUCAAUCGAACCGGUGAGGUGAAAGGGUCGAGAUUCAACCGGUCGGACCGGUUCAACCGGGGUUCAAUAAAUAAAUAAAUAAAUAAAUAUAUAUAUAUAUAUAUAUAUAGACACACACACCUAUGCAUAGAAUAAGAUAUAAAUGCUGAACCACAAUAAAUAUAAGAGCAAUAUCCAACAAUUAACACACACAAUUAACAUAGUUAUGAAACUUACAUGUCCAAUUGUCUAAAUAUUAAAAUUAACAAAAAAAAAUACAAGUCUAGAAAACAAUCAAAAGGUCCAAACGAGUCCAAUUUCUGAAGCUUCUAUAAUCUUCUUCAUAAUUCUGGGACAACAAAGCUUCAAAAAAAGCCAUCUUGACAAGUCAUCAUCAUCAUCCAAGACCAUUAUAUGAAUCACUGACAAGUGAUAAAAGUAUAAAAUCAUAUUAGUUUCAUCACACCAACUGAUACAAAUCUUAAAAAUAAAAAUAAAAGAGUACAAAUAAUUCUAUACCAAUUACCAUUUGAACAUUUAAUGCCAAUCAUCAUCUUCAUCAUUAAAAAAGUUUCGACGCUGAAAUGUUUCUAAAUCAACAUCUUCUGCUUCCUCUUCAUUAUCUAAAAAAUCAACAUAUUUAAUUAUAUACAUAUUCAACAAUUGAAUAUCAUAUCAUACUAGCUUUAUUUUUGCAUCAAACUAAUGAUUUAUGUCAAACUAACCUUCAAGUUGUUCAGAAUUUGAACAUUGACCAUGAAUUGGAAGUUCUUCAAGCUCUUCCUCUAACUCCUCAUAAUCAAGCUCCCCUUCUUGUUCUUCUUCAACCACCCAAAAUUCUGUUUUAUCAAUUGACUCAUAAUCAACGGGAUCAUACGAUCUCUUUUGCUGAUUAUGCCUACAAUAUAUAUAUAUACACACAACAUAUACACUUAGUUAGUACUAAAAUAUUUUCUUAAAAAGAAUGAAAUGUCAUUUAUAAAAAUAAACCAUUUACAUAUACCUAUACUGCAAACGCAAAUUGUAAUGCACAUAUACAAGAUCAUUGAGCCUUUGAUGCUCCAACCUAUUCCUUUUCUUAGUAUGAAUACGUUCAAAAACACUCCAAUUACGCUCACAUCCUGAAGAAGAAGCUGUUUGACUCAAAACCCGAAUUGCAAGUUUUUGUAAGUUGGGAGCAUCACAACCAAAGAGCUUCCACCAAUUCUCUGUCAUAUUCAAAAUUUAAAUAUAAACAAAAUAUUUAUAAAUUAGAUAUAUAUAUAUAUAUAUAUAUAUAUUAGAGAGAUUCAAAUGCUAGAAAAAUAUAAAUUACCUGGUCUAUCUUUCUUGCUAGUAAGAAUAGCAAGUUUUCUGCCAAAACUUCCCUCCCGCUCUCGAUACAUUCCAAUUUCUCUUGUUAAAUUUUCCACACUACACCAAUCCACCUUUGAUUCUAUGUAAUCCAACAAACCAUUUGUAAUUUCUGGAUGUGUAGAGAAUGUGGCGGUGUCAUAUUGAAAAGCGGGAUUUAAAAAAUAUGCCGUAGCAUGCAAAUUUUUCCUCAACAUCCUAUCCCAUCGGUCAUUGAUGAUAUCAAUGUAAGGCUUAUAUAGUCUUUCACUACUCCUGAACAACUUCUUGAUUCCAGUAAUUGCUCUAAACAUACCUUCAUACACAUACCCCAAAGAAGGCCUUUCAUCAGUGUCACAAACUCUCAACAACCGAAUAAUAGGACCCAUUAUUCUCACCGUAAUCAAACAAUUAUUCCAAAAUCUAUCAUCCAAAACAAUUUGUUUGACCUCUUUUCCUUUGUUCAUUUUCAAGAACUUUUUGUAAUCUCCGCUAGUGACUAAAGCUUGUAAGCUGUCUUUGUGAUCAUGUAAGCUCUUUAGUGCAAUAAAAGUGGUGGCAAAUCGAGUCUCCCCCGGACGAAUAAUCUCCCUCCACCCAUUAGUUUUUCUCAGCCAAUUUAGAACAUAUUUAUGAUUAUACACAAAAACAGUUACUGUAGCAGCAAGAGCCACUAGAGAUUUAACAGUACCCAUUUCACCAAUAUCCUUCAAAAUCAAAUUGAUACAAUGGGCAGCACAUGGAGACCAGCAAAUAGUUGGAUAUCUUUCAUUUAAUAAAGUUCCAGCAGCCUUAUAAUUGCUAGCAUUAUCAGUGACUAAAUGCACCACAUUUUUUGAACCAACCAUUUCAACAAUUUCAGCAAACAGAUUGCACAAAUUUUCUGCAUUUGUCACAAUGUCCGAUGCAUCUAUAGACUUGAUAAAAGAUAUACCCUUAGGACAAUAAACCAGAAAAUUAAUCAAUGGUCUUUGUCUACUAUCUUUCCAUCCAUCACCCAUUAUAGUGCAUCCAGCACAAGAGUAGACAUCAAAGGUGUAACCUCAUGAAAAGAAGCUUUAGCCCACAGCACCACAUUGCCAAAUGGGCACAUAGUCUUCUGACAAAUCAUAUUAGCACGUUGCAUGACUGUUUAGAAAGGCAUUUACCUCUGUCCUUUCCUCAAAUUUGAGGAACCAGUGAAUCAUCAUUUUUAUUAUAAAAGCCUCUUGCUUUUCGCAUCCAGUAUCCAGAAUCAUUUUUCCUAGGCUCCUUACAUCUCUACAAACUCUUCAUCCUCCUGUCGUCUCUCUACUUGAAUAACCAAUUCAAAAAGUGAUGUUAACCAGGAGUAGAACCCUUCCCUCAAGAAUUUAUAAUGGUGUUGUAAGUUGAUUUUCGGAACGUACCAAUUUCAGUGUGAUAAAAAAAAAAAAAAAAAUUCUUUUGUUCUCUCAACUUUUCUAAAGCUACCCGUCUGUUCCAUUCUUUAGGUUGAAGAGAGGCAAGACUUCAGACACUAUUUGCAGGUGGAAGUCCAACCCAAACCUCAACAGGAAGCUGAAGCAAUUAAUCUGCAAGCUAACUAUUCCAAGUGCUUUGAUGAUGAUGGCCGGUUAAAGAGAACAGGUAAACAUCCCAACAAAAGUGGGCAGAUGAAUAUAAUACUUAGAAUACGCCGUGCAGAUUAGACAUUGGGAUUAAAUUUAAUACUGGAAAACUGAUGAAUUUACUACCAGUCCCUCGCAAAUUACAUCUCUCAUAUUACAUACAACCGACUCUACGUGUCAGUCUCUCAAGAAUUAAUUGCUCAAUCAUCAUCAUUUGCCAUUAAGCAAGCAGAUGGUAGACCAGUAUUACCCAUUGAAUGCCACCCAACAUACCUAAUAGGCUAUAACGUUUGCUGAUGCAGGAACUCUUUGGACUGCAACAUCCCAUAUAAUCACAGCCGUCAUUGGCUCCGGUGUGCUAUCAUUAGCAUGGGCUAUAGGACAACUUGGGUGGGUUGCUGGACCAACUGUCAUGCUUCUUUUUGCUUUUGUAAUUCUCUACACGUCCAACCUCCUAUCACAGUGCUAUAGGUCUGGGAAUCCUGUAACUGGACCACGGAAUUACACUUACAUGGAUGCUGUCAAGGCAACCUUAGGUAAAAAGACGUACAAGAAUAACUUUCCUAAUUCUUUUAAAGUUAUUAGUCAUUUAAUAUCAGAUUCCUAACGUGACGUUUUUGGAUUGCAGGAGGGAGAAAAGUAAAAAUCUGUGGACUAAUUCAGUAUAUCAAUUUAUUUGGUGUGGCUAUUGGCUACACAAUUGCAGCAUCAGUCAGCAUGAUGUGAGUUGGCAGUGUGAAAAUUAUACUAAUAUACCAAUUGAUAUGCUCUUCUAUCUAACCAAUGCAUCAAAAUAUGUGGAAUAUCAUGUCAGAUACUAACACACAGUGGAACUAUACUAUGCACUUGUCUCUUUUGUGAAACAGGGCAGUAAAAAGAUCAAAUUGCUUCCAUGAGAGCAAUGGUAAAGAUCCCUGUCAUAUGACAAGCAAUGGAUACAUGAUUACCUUUGGAAUCAUUGAAAUCAUAUUCUCCCAGAUCCCUGAUUUUGACCAAGUAUGGUGGCUGUCCAUAGUUGCAGCAGUUAUGUCCUUCACAUACUCUACUGUUGGUCUUUCUCUUGGCAUUGCCAAGGUUGCAGGUGCACACUAUACUGCUCUCAUUUUGACAUGACCAAAGACAAAAAUUACUAUUAAAAGCAGAAGUGUGAAUUUCAAUUAUAUAUAUUAUCUCGUUUGCAACUUAUGACUAGAUGUUUGAUAUGCAUUUCGAAAGCUUAUUUACACAUGUAUCAUAUGGCAGUUAUACCACCAAGAUGUUUGUUUUGCAACUAAAGCAUGCACUUCUACUUUAUUUACGUUUGUCUGAUUUAUGCAAAAAAAAGGGAUCUAGUUUAUGUUCCUAAUUAGAUCAUUUAGUUCCAGGUUCUGGAACAAUCACCUUACUAUGCAGACAUCAAUCUUUUUCUUUAUUAAUUUGUGGCAGAAAAUAAAAGUUUCAGAGGAAGCCUAAUAGGCAUCAGCAUAGGUACCAUAACACACGCUGGAACAGUUACUGCAACACAGAAGUUAUGGAGGAGUCUACAAGCUCUAGGAGCCAUAGCAUUUGCAUACUCUUACUCCAUCAUCCUCAUUGAAAUUCAGGUUGACUGUAUUCCAGGUUCUCCCUCUACAAAUGAUAGUUUCCUUCCAAAUUUAGUUCAGAACAAUUUUCAAUUCAGAAGUGCUGAUGGAAAAACUUCAUGCACCCCCCGUAGGAUACCAUCAAAGCCCCUCCAGCUGAAUACAAAACCAUGAAGAAGGCAACUCUAAUCAGCAUUGCGACCACAACCGUAUUCUAUUUACUCUGUGGAUGCAUGGGAUAUGCUGCAUUUGGGGACGAUGCUCCAGGAAACCUUCUUACUGGUUUCGGAUUUUAUAAUCCAUAUUGGCUAUUAGACAUAGCUAACGUAGCCAUUGUCAUCCAUCUUGUUGGUGCCUAUCAAGUAAACCCAUGCAACCACUCGUUAACAUAUCCAUACUUCGCUUCAAACACUAAUAUCAUCUAUAAUGCUUAAAACUCACUUCCUUCAGUCAGACUAUCUAUAAGGCAUAUAAGAUAGAAUGUUGCUCACAUAGCUACAUGACUGAGAAAAUGCAGGUCUACUGCCAGCCGUUAUUUGCAUUUGUGGAGAAAUGGAGUGCACAAAGAUGGUCAAAUGGUGACUUUGUAACGGCAGAAUAUGACAUACCUAUCCCUUUUUAUGGCGUGUACCAGCUCAAUUUUUUCCGGCUGUCGUGGAGAACCGCUUUUGUAAUUGUUACUACUAUCAUCGCCAUGCUCGUGCCUUUCUUCAAUGAUGUUGUCGGCAUACUGGGAGCUCUAGGAUUUUGGCCAUUGACAGUAUACUUCCCCAUCGAGAUUUAUGUUGCUCAGAAGAAGAUUGGGCGAUGGACAACUCAAUGGAUUGGUCUACAGAUAUUAAGUGCAGCUUGUCUCCUUGUUUCACUAUCUGCAGCAAUUGGUUCCGUGGCUGGUUGUCGUUCUUGAACUCAAAACAUACAAACCUUUAAAACUAGCUAUUAGGAGGAAAAGAUCGAGCAAAGGAGGAGGAUAUAGAAGCAUUUUACCUGGACUGAGAAAAGCAGCAUGUACUGGUUACUAAUCUAUAAAGAUGAAGGGAUGUACUAUAAAUUACGAGAACAUUGAUGUAUCAAAAUUACAGAGGGCUUCGACGGGGUGGAUUGGAUGGCAGUCAUGCAAUCAUCAGUCAACAAUGAACGUUAAUAUAAAGCGUAAUUAUUAGGUAUAAUAAGCUGCCAAAAAAAACCCCCGCAUAAAUCUAAAAUAUGGUUUUAGACCAAUACUACACAGGUGCUUGUAAGAGCUUUUUUCGCUUUUUAAUUUUUUAACUUGCUAUUCAUCAUGGAUGAUCUAUUUUCUACAAUUCGAUUCAAGUUUUGGACUAAAGAUACACAAGUUUACCGUAGCUUGAUUACAAAACAAAUGCUGCCAGUUUUUGCGGCCAGGUCCAUUCUUUAUAAAGUCUUUCCUUAAAUGUCAGUCCUAAAAAAUAAACUAAAAUAAGAUAAUAAAGAAAAAACCGAUGCACCAGAGUGAGUCCUCAAUCGAAUCGAAAUCUACUCGAGUGAGGUAGGUAAAGAUCGUGUUGGAUGCGGGACUUAAUGCUGACCUGAGAGGGAGAAUUAAAGGCAAAGGUCCAAUCUCUUUAUUUGCCCACCAGCAGGCACCAUCCUAUGUUCGAUGAAAGCCAAGACAAAAGUAGUACUUUUUUAAGGAUGCGUAUUUAGUUUAGUAAUUUACAAGGCUGGAGGACUUAAUAUGGCCCUCUCUACUCUUUGUCUUAGUAUAAUGCGCGCAGAGGCUGUUUCCAGUUCUAGUUUCUGACGAAACGACGCUGCAGCUCUGUCUUGGCAACACAGGCUUACCAGUAACACGGACCAGACCUUCAUUGUCCCGUGUACAUACGAAAGUCCAGCCCAAGAAACGCUGACAAUUUUGCGAAGCCUAAUAGUGUCGCACAUGGAACUCUUUUUAACAUUUUACAUACCACUUCACAAUACUAUGAUACUUGGAUCCAAACGUGGGGGUUGACAAAUACUACAAAUUUUAAGUCGCUGGGAACCGUGACAGCAACGGGGAUACUUAAGAAAGACGGUGCAUCUUGUUGACAACAAAAUAUUUUGGUAAUGGACCUUUUAGGUUGAUUUUGAUCGUUUGCCUUAUGCUGAGUGGACACGAUGCAGGAUCUUAGUGACGUACCAGGACUAGGAGAUUGCAAAUAAUUGAGGAUUCGAUGUGAUCUACCACAAUAAAAUUGAUGGCACACCACAAUGUUCCCUGUCAAGGGCAAAGCGGAACACCCCAAAAGAGAGAGAGAGCACCUGUUACAAUCCCACGCCAAUACAUGCUAAUGUUGUUAAAUUCGAUCGGAUAGCGAUUCGGCUAAAUUAUUGAAUUAGAAAUUAAUUGGUUGAAUCGUUCUCGACAACUCGCUAACGUCAGCAUAAUGUUAUAUAAUUAUUUUAUAUUUUUAUAAGUUUUAGAAAUAUUAAAAUCAAGUUCUUCGUUAUAUUUGUUCAAUCAUAAAAGAUGUUCCAAAAAUAUUAGAUUUGCAAUCAAAUACAUACUGAAUAAUUAUAUAUAAAAAUAUAAAUUCAUGAUUAAAAUAUGUCUAUUCUUCAAAACUACUUGAAAAAUUAAAUUAAAACAAAUUAAUAUAAGUUGAAAUCACUGAUGCUAAAUUAAUGAGAUCAUAGGGAUAAAAAUAUCUUGAUUUAGAGAUUAUUUAAGAAAUCGGGUGAUUUUGAUAUUUACAUUAAAUGGUUGACGUUUUCUUAUUUCUACUGAUAAAUGAAAGUUUAAGUAACUCAAAUUAUAUUUGAAAAAAAAAGAAAAAAGAAAAGUUUAAAAAUUGAGUCAACCAGGCGAAUCAGGCCAUCGAUUUAACCAAUUUUUUAUGAUUUUAAUUGAUUUUUUAUCAAAGUAAUAAAUCAGUUCGAAAAGAAAAUUGAUUUACGGUAGGACUGGUUGAAUCGACCGGUCCGAUUCGGAUCUAACAACACUGGUACAUGCAUUUUGGGAAGGUCAGUUUUAAUCCUAGUCACAGUCUUACCCAAUUGGUGACGCCCGCAAACGUCCACUGUACCCUGGACCCCCUCACAAUAACUGCCAGAGUCGCUGUCACAAGCGCAAUUUAGUCAGGGAUGAGUGGUCAAAAAUAUAAAUUGGAGUGGACGUCAAAUCAUGCAUAAAGAUGUUGCUGAUACUUUAUUUCAUACAUAUAAAUACACUUUUUAUUUGGCGACGAAAUCAGGUGUGUCGAUCUGUCACUACAUAGUAUAAUCCAAGCAUAUGGGCUAAAAAAAUAAAAUAAAAAUCCAAGCAAGCAGCAAGCAUAUGGUGCCUACUUAAAAAUGAAAAAUUUCCAAGCAAAGCAUAUGAUUAGUCUGCAAGUAUGUGUACAAGUUGAUCAUGAACAGCAACAAAGUAUUUGGAGUUGAAGCGGUUGUUUCAAUUUCAAAAGCUCCAAAGCUUGUACUUAUUGGCAAACCAACCAAUCUUAACGAGAAGAAAGAAGAAAGAGAAGUAACCGCUCUCGGAAGCUUCGAAUUGAUCGAGUGAAGUAGGAUGAACUUAACAAGCAUUUGGCAUUCAUAAUACUUUUUGUCACAUGAGGAGGUCGAAAAAGAAAAUUCCCAGACAUUCCCUCCGGCUCCUACCACGAUCACCCCCGGAAAAAGGCUUAAAAGGCCACACGCCGGUGUCUCCCGACACUUAGACAUACCUACCCCUCGAAACGGCGCUAAUUAAAGACGAUCGAUCAACAAGCCAACCCAAAAAUAAUAAUAAACAACCAAAAGUGCUAGCUAGCAAGAUGUAGCUAGCUGCUUAAAGCUAAUCAAGCUAGAAUCUACACACCUAUCUCCCUAGUACUCGAUUAAAAAAAAAAAAAAAACACAUGAUGAUCAUGAUCAGGAUCAAGAUCAUUAAAAAAGCCUUCCUGGUAGCGAAUUAACGAGCAUCCAAACAUGGGUGAUGGAACCAUUUACAGGGGAUCAAUUUGAGUCACCACAAUGGGGCUCCGCACCACAUGCUUUCCAUCCACCCAAGAAAGUGAGCCGAAAACAGCACCGGAAUCACCAAUCACCAGAUUCUUACUGUCCGCGGUGACCGUCACAAAGUAGCUCAAUUUCCUCACUUUCUCCGUGAACACAAGUUUUGAGGGCUUCACAGCAACACCGACCCCCUUGGGUGCCUCCACCUUCACGCUGUAGACUGCAUUUGCUUCCCCGACGUUCGUCACUGUCCUGAAAAAGGUCUUGCUGGAAACCCCCGUGGAGGCACUCGAAAACGGUGCAGCAAUUGAGGGAUAGUUCAGGUUCUCAGGCAACGGCUUCCUCGCCGGGCAAUUCACCGGUGAUCUGGUGAUUACCUGAAUCGUCUUGGGGCCAUACUCAAUCGCGCAUAGAAAAUUCACGUAAUCACUAUUGGUUAAAUCAUAAACGAGCCCUGGAUCCAUGGCGAGACCGAGAUUCACGUGUCCAGCUCCAUAAUCGUAGGGGGUGGAUGGUUUCCCAGUUGCCUCAUCGAUCAUGGGAUGAAAAUUGUUGUCAAUAGUAGUAGCAGUAGUCAUCAUAGCAGACCUAAUUGCAGCGGGACUCCAAUCAGGAUGCGCGGAUUUUAGCAAGGCCGCCGCGCCGCUCACGUGAGGACACGCCAUGGACGUACCCGACAAGAUGUUGAACUCGGUCUUCCGAGUAUCCAAAUCCAGUCCCGUUGGACCGACCGCAUCAGUCCAGGCAGCCAAGAUAUUAACCCCAGGGGCUAUCAUGUCCGGCUUCAGUAUCUCGGGGUUCAAACCGUUGGGCCCUCUAGCUGAAAAAGAAGCCACCACGGGAGCCGGUUUGAUCCCAACUACGGUGCCCCCGAAAUUGAUGGUGGCAGUGGGAUUUGGAUGGGAGGCGGCAUAGGCUUUGAUGGCGUCACCUUCUGAAGCACCAACUGCACAAGUUGGAAGCAAAUGAGCAUCUCCAACAAGGCCUUCUCCGUUGGAAGCCCCAUUAGCCAGAAUCAUUCCCACACCUCCUGCCUUUUUCACCACUAGUCCUUUGGCCACUCUAGGAUUACUACCCCGGUCGCAAAUCACUAUUUUUCCUUCCACUGCGCUAGGCUCAAGUGAAUUCUCCAUGCACAGUGAAGUGGCCAGUACCCCGGAUUUACCGGGGUACACUACGGAGUACAUUUUCCCGUCCAGUGGCAACCCCGCGUACAGCGACACCCCGGAGAGUUUCCUACCGUCGCCAAGGAUAAUAUAAGCUGGGAAAUUCCGAUCAAUGGUGCCGGCUCCGACGGUGGUGAGCCAGGGAGCGAGGUUCGUCACGGACAUUCCAUUCGGCCCAUCAUUUCCAGCUGAAGACGACACAAAAACGCCCCGCGCAACGGCACCGUACGAUCCGAUUGCGAUUGGAUCGAGAUAAUAAGGGGAUGAAACGCCGUCACCGCCACCAAUUGAGAUGGAAAUCACGUCGACUCCAUCGGUGACUGCAGCGUCAAAUGCGGCGAGAAUGUCCGAAUCGAAGCAACCGGCACCCUUCCAGCAAACUUUGUACACUGCUAAUCGAGCUUUGGGAGCUACCCCUUUAGCUAUCCCGGCAGCAUAGCCCUCCAUGCUAGCUUGAAAAGCAUGCCGACCAGCAGCGGUGGAGGCGGUGUGGGUCCCGUGGCCGUCGGCAUCUCGGGGAGACUUGAACUCGAUAGUUUCAUUAAUCCCGCCCCCGAACCCUCCAAAACCAGGGGAAGCCUCGUGGCCUUUGGAGAAAAAUCUCGCUCCGACAAUUUUGCGGUUGCAGUUCUUGGUGGUGAACCUCACUCCGGCCUGGCAAACACCUUUCCAGCGAGCGGGGACCGGGCCCAAGUUCAGAUCGGAGAAGCUCCGGCGUUCGGGCCAAAUUCCGGUGUCAAACACUCCAAUAAUAACGUCGGAGCCAUAGUCGGAUUCGGACCAGAGACCCCUUUGGUUGCUAAGGCCCAGAAACUGAGGGGAGCGAGUGGUGUGGAGAUGUCGGCGGCGGUCCUCAAAAGCGGCGAGGAUAGAAGGGUGCUUGAGGACAGAGGCGGCUUGGGAGGGAGUUAAAGAGGCGGAGAAGCCGUGGAAAACUUUGUCGUAGACAUGGAGGAUGGUGGGAGAGGGGGUGAACUCGGAGGUGUACCAGUGGUAGUGGGUUGGGAAAAUGGUGGGCUUAAAAGAGCUGUCUAUUCGGAAGAUGUAAGUUUUGGGGGUUUGAUCAGGUGAAACGGCAAUGGACUUUGAGACGGUAGUAAUUACAAGUAUUACGAAAAAGAGGAGAAUUGGAGGAGGAAAUGAAGUAGCCAUGGGCGAAAGAAAGCUAGCAGCUCAGAGUCCAGCCAGAGAGUGUGGAGAGAGAAGAAUGAUGCUGCUGCAGCUGAGUUAUAGGAGGGAUUAUUGUCUCUCUCUCUCUCUCUCUCUUUUCUUCUUUUAUUUAUUUACUAUUUUUUUGUUUAAUUAAAGUAGGGUGGUAAUAAUUAAAAAGUUUUACUAGUGGUUACCAGGUGUGAAUUCUGUCUAAAUCAAAUUGGUUCAUCAAAAAUCUCGUAGUAAAUCUGAAUUAUUCAUCUCAUACAAUUAAAGACUAUAAAUUAGCAAUUACUACUGUACGAAUUUACAUAAAAUAUAUAUUAUUGUUGGUUCAAAUACACGGACCGGUUUGAAUCCUUUUAUUUGGGCGGUUUUUAGAAUUUUCUCAAACAGAUUUCCUUAACACCAAAAAUAUACAAGUCAUGGGACGUUUUGUAGUUUAUUAUAAAUUUCUAAUGUUUGCGGACUAAGUACAUAAAUUAUUAAGUAAAAUGUUUCUCUCAAGGUAAAUGAUGCGAAAGUGCCUACCGAAUUACGAGUAGUUUCGUUUCUAAUUAUGAUGAAGCAUGCCCAUCACUUUAUUGCAACCUCUCACAUACUUCCACCAAAUAACUAUAAGUAAUUUAGUAGUAAUAUGCACUUUUAAAGGUUAGGAAGGCCAUUAAGUUAAUUAACUAUUAGAUCAUGGUACGAGGGUGGCUCUCUCUAACGGAUGAAUGAAUUACCGGAGAAAUAAAAAGGGGGAAUUAUAAGUGACUGUGUGUGGGGGAGAGUGGAUAUGAUUUUGUCGUUUAUUUAUACGCUAUAAAGUAUAAAUUGAAGGCCACAUUAUUGUUGAUGACUGAUGAGUCAUCAGACCUAUUUUGCGGGCGGGGGAACCAAAACAAAGCAAAAUUGGAUCUGAUACGAUUGAUUUUUUUUGGUGUCUAACGAUAUAUUUAUAUAACUCACUCUAUCCUAAUUUAAGGGGAGGGAAAGUCUAAGGAGAGACUGUGGUAGGGAACUAAUAGAUAUACAGAUAGGGAACUAAUAAAUAUACAGAUACAACUAGAUCAAGGGAGUGAUCUGACAUAACUCUUGAAUUUUUUUCGUUGUGGGAGGGAAUUAAACCCCUCUCAAGUGGCCACUGUGCCAUUGGCCCAGUGGUUGAUCUGAUACGAUUGAUUAUUGAUAGGUUUGGGGAGUGGGGUAUCAUCAGCCACCAGGAAUCCCACAAUUCAAUUCUUGGUCCUUUGGAGUGGAGUGGCAAUUUAAUUUAGGAAUAAUUAUAGAAACCUCCCCUGAGGUUUCUGACAUUUGCACUGGCCUCCCUUAUGGUUUGAAAAAUUACACUGACCUCCCUUGAGGUUACUAAUCCUUUGCAAAUUCAGUCCAAACGAUUAAAAUAUUGUUUUAGCGAGUGAAAUUAGAAUUUUUUACCAAAUUUGUCCUUUGUACUACAUGUCCAAUGAAUGACAAAAUAUUACAAAUUAAUUAACAAUUAAUAAACUUUAAGGAGUAUAAUUUAUAGACAAAGACGUAUUACUUAUUUAAAGUACCGCCUCUUUAUGAGUAUUUUACUUUCAAACAUUUAAUUUAAUACAAAUAUUUACGCUCAAAUACAUAUUUGUAUUUACUUUCAAAUAUUUAAUUUUUGUUAAAUACAAAAACUACCAAUCUCUGUUCUAAAAAUAUUAAUAUAACACUUUUUCAAUUUUAGUUAUAAACAUUUAUGUAUUUAACAUAAAUUAAAUGAUUCAAAAUAAAAUACCCAUAAAGAGCUAAUAAUUUACUCAUGUAAUCGACGAAAGCCAUAAAGAAUUAAUACUUUAUAGGCCAUUUCUUUUUUUUUUUAAUAUUUAAUUUAUAUUAAACAAAUAACCUAUCGAUUUUCUUUUUGCAAGAAUAUUACUGUAACACUUUUUGAAUUUUAAUUACGAACAUUGAUAUAUUUAUCAUAAAUUAAAUGUUUGAAAGUAAAAUAUUCGUAAAAAGCCGGUACUUUAAAUGAGUAAUGUGUGUUUGCCUAUAAAGAGGCAGUAACUAUUUAAAGUACCGAUUUUUUAAGGGUAUUUUUCUUUCAAACAUUUAAUUUAAUACAAAUAUUUACGCUCAAAUACAGAUUUGUAUUUACUUUCAAAUAUUUAAUUUUUUGUUAAAUACAAAACCUACCAAUCUCUCUUUCGUAAAAAUAUUAAUAUAACACUUUUUCAAUUUUAGUUACAAACAUUUAUGUAUUUAACAUAAAUUAAAUGAUUCAGAAUAAAAUGCACAUAAAGAGCGAAUACUUUACUCGUGUAAUGGAUGAAAGUCAUAAAAAAUUAAUACUUUAUGGGCCAUUUAUUUUUUUAAAAAAAAUAUUUAAUUUAUAUUAAAUAAAUAACCUAUCGAUUUCCUUUUUGCAAGAAUAUUACUAUAAUAGUUUUUGAAUUUUACUUACAAAUGUUGAUAUAUUUAUCAUAAAUUAAAUAUUUGAAAGUAAAAUACUCGUAAAAAACAGGUACUUUGUCAAGAUCAAGCGCUUACCAUUGCACCAAAAGCUAUAGCUAUUAGCGAAGGCGCAACUUUAUUUCUUUAAUCACAAUAGCAGCGUAAAGCACCGUACCACGCUCGGCCAGUAUGAGGGGCUGCACCCCUGGAUGCCACGGAUUGGACGGUUAGUCCCUUCGAAUCGGGAUCUGAAGGAUGUUGCUGAUUAGGCCAACAUACUUUAAAUGAGUAAUGCGUGCUUGCCCAUAAAUUAUACUCCUUAAAAUUUAUUAAUUAUUAAUUGAUUUAUAGUACUUUGUCAUUCAUUGGACAUGUAGUACAAAGGACAAAUUUGGUAAAAAAUUCUAAUUUCACUCUCUAAAACAAUAUUUUAAUCGUUUGGACUGAAUUUGCAAAGGAUUAGUAACCUCAGGGGAGGUCAGUGUAAUUUUUCAAACCAUAAGGGAGGCCAGUGCAAAUGUCAGAAACCUCAGGGGAGGUUUCUGCAAUUAUCCCUUUAAUUUAGUAGUAGUAAUUAAGAGGUGGACCAAAGAAGGACAAAAAAGGAGAAAGCGUGGUCGUCGGGACCAACGGUGCCAGUCGCUUUUCCCUGAUUUUUUUUUUUUUUUUGCAAAUAAAAACUUGAUGGAUGGGGGGUGGGUCCUGAUGGAUCAUGCUAUUUUGAAUUGAUUUUGUGUAGUAUUUUACUUGCGAGGAUCUACGUUUAACAUGAUUGAUUGAUUGAUGCAACUAAUACUACCAGUUUUAAAAUUAAAAAACUUCCAUAAAAUGAAAAAGGAUUGAUGAAACGUUUGACAAAUUCGAAUAAUUCCAUGGUACAAUUGAUAUAUAUGUGUCUAAAGUCCAAUGGCUAGUGUACGAUAAGCCAUGAGGAGGGAUUCUGUGUCUGUCUGCGACCUUCUGCUUUUUCUUUUCUUUUCGUUUCUUUUUUUUUUUUUAAAAGUUCUUGCAUGGCUUGUUUGAAGUAACUCCAACAUAUAUGUUUCUAUUGUUGUCCUUUUUUUUUUUUUUUUGGAUCUCCUUGUGAUGUUAAUUUAUGUUUUGAACUUCCAAAGUUAGUGUCUAAUAACUACUGCUACUGUGUGUCUAUGGUUGGUGGUAUGCACAAAUACUAAAUACUCGCAGUUCCAGUAGCGUUAGUGACGUUAAAACAUCAUGUUAUGUGGUGGUAUCAUUCUCCUAAUGACCAGGAAAAGGUGACUACUACACCGCCGUCUGCUAAUUUGUCUCUGCAGAAAUAUCAUCAUCUCCUUCAAAAGUUGGUAGUAUUAUACGGUGUGUAGAUUAAAUUUGACUGACAUUGAUUGGCUCCCUAAAAUAUCUUCCCUGUCUGAAAAUUGCUAUAGCUAAGUCCUUAAACAUGAAUGAAUACCAAGACACCAUACAUCGAGUUCGAUCAUCCUUGUUCCCCAGUUUAUUCCAAUCAUAAACAAGAUUUUGAUCAUCAGGUCAGUCAGAAAGUUCGACAUUGGAAUCUUCCGCACAGUACAACUCCUACCACUACUGCGAGUAUUAGUAGUCAGCGUCCGUUAGUUUUGGGAUGAACACCAAACAUGCGGUACUGGGCCGUUCCUCGUACACAUCCUCUGCUACGUAGGAGUACCGUGUUUAUGCUGCAUGGGAGUAUAUAUUUCUCCCUCCCUCUCUCUCUUUUUUUUUUUUUUGGCAGCCGAAGCAUCAUCUUCUUGAGCUUUCAGCGUAGUACAUGUGGUGGGGUCCUGCAAAAUGAUCAGAUGUCUCCCAAUCCCAUUCAGUCCCAGGAGAAAAGCCAGAUGCUUGCUCAUCUAAAUCUAGACCGUCAAAACUGUUGGCCCCCCCCUCAAUCAUGGCUUCCUUCACGCUCAAGGUUGUUGCAGAAAGAAAGAAAGGGCGCCAAACUGCUGCAAUUUGAUUUCCGUGCCAAACUGCUCUAAAAAGUUAAAGGGCAGCCCGAUCGAGUUGGAUGCAUCUCUGACUAGUAAACUUUUUUAUUUUAUAGUACUGCUCUGCUAAUUGAGGUCCCAAAGUUAAAUGUAAACCCAAUUUGAUGACAAGUGAAUUGAACUCGAAAAGCAACAAGGAAGUAGUAUAUGGUACUGUAUAUGGUUGAAGUUGGAGGAUUGGGUCGACUUGAUUUCCAUCGUUUCAGGUAGUUAAUAGGAGGAGGAUCUUGAUUUGAUAACCGUCGGAUGGGAUGGGAGACUGUCGGCCUUACCAGUUACUUACUAGAGUCACAGGAAGGUGGCUCAUACAAUUAUGGAUUCCUUGCUCCUUCGCAUGCUACUGCUGUUGCACGAAAACGAAACCAAACUGCAGAUUGUAAAUUGUAAACAAAAGAAUGAAACGGUGCGUGACGGCAAUCAUCCAUAGGAUACUCCAUUCCCUUAAAGAGGUUCACAUCAGUUGCGUUUUUAAAUUCAUUGUGAUGCUUCUCCAUUUUUUAGUGGUCGAAAAAAUAAUCAAUUUCUUUUGCACUUUUGCAAACCUGCGAUUCAGGAUUUUUUUUUUUUUUUUGUGGGGGGUUUAGCAACCAACCAAUAAAGAUUUAGUAGUACGUGAUAGUUUCCCAAGAACUGUGCAGUAUAUGGAUACAUAUGCAUCCAUGGCUCUAAGUACGCAAGUAAUCAUGUGUGGUAACCAAAAACAUGAGUUUGUCAUGUUUCGGCUUGUAAUGACCACCCCCACCGCCCCCACACACACACAUACACGAAAAAAGAACGGACACGUGUAGGAGUAGUUGGAGUUGGCGAGUAGGACACUCCCAUCAAUUUCGCCACCGAUCACUGACCAUGCUUUCUUCCGUAAUUCUUAACAACAGAUCAUCAUCAUCUUAGCUAAGCUACUUCAGUUUUCGUUUUUCACGGCUGAAGGGGACUCUCUCUCGAUUAUAAUAAAGCUUUUGCUCUUUGACGACGAAGAUUUGUCAUCCAUAGGUCCAGUAGUAGAUGAUAAUAGAAAGGCGGCAAUGCUAGAUGACGAGAUGAUUUCUGAACUGAUGGAUCGAAUCUAUAGCACAAGUACACCUGUCAAGAUAGAGAUACAAUCGAGACUUUAUCCUUCGAUCUAGCUUCGAUGUUAAAAUCAAUUAUGCAAAGGAUCAGGAGUAAAAAUAACACUAGUUGAUUAGAGUUAUGAGCAAGAGAGAAAUUAAGCUUAAAAAAUCCUAUCACCCUCCUCACAAAAGGAAGGGAGUAUUUAUAGUAAGAAAACUGAUAAGAGGAAUGAUGGAACCUACUCCUUAUUACCUAUAAGGAGUCAGCCUAUGGCGGUGGUGUCAGAGAUAUGUCUAGGUAUAACAGCGACGACAGUCAUAUGAACCUGUCUAAUACUAGUCAGCUUUUACUUGUAGGUAUCAGAUGCCGAAUAACUAGAUAGGCCCAAUCGACCGAUGUGGAUUCAUGUCGGGAGGGCAAAGAUGAGGAUAAAUACCAAGUUAGUCGAGGUGAUCACCUCGGCCUAAAAUGUGUUGGAUUGAGUCACCUCGGCGAUGCGUCAAGCCGAGAAAGCCAAGGUGAGCGUCCACACUAGACAUUCAAAUUAUUGAUGCCAAUUGAGCUCCAAGAAAUUGUAAUAGAGUAGCAAAGUAACUAAUUGGCCACUAGAGGAGGGACUGAGCUUAGGUUAGGGUUGAACCUCCUUGACUGUGUUUUGUUUGUAGAAUUUUUUUUAGUAUUGCCAAAAGUUAUUUAACUACUUUCGAACAUCUCAAUAGAUUAAAUAGAUCCAUUCCCCUCCUUUUCCCCCUAGUAUAGGAUCAAUUGUAAUAAUGUUGUACUAAAAAAAAUAACAGAGUAGCACAUGUAGGCCUAUCAACGGGCCGGGUCUGGGUCCGGAAUAAUAUCGGAUCCAAAUUCGACCUGUUUACCUGACGGGACUUCUACUCUAUGUUUCGGAUCCGGAUCCGACGGGUCUACCCAAAAAAAAAAUUAUCAAAACUUACAAUUUCUAAUAAAAAUAAGAAAAAAAUAUAUUUGUAAACUAAUUUCUAACUAAUACAAAAAAAAUCAAAUAAGAAAAGAAAUCAAAUUGACCUUACUCAAAUACACCACCUUAAUCAAAUUAUAUUGAUAAAUAUAUAUUUUUAAAACUAUUAAUCCAUUUAUAUCCGGAUACGGGUCGGAGUACUAUAUUCGGUAUCCGACCCAUUUUUUUUUUGUUUCACAAAACAGAUCCAAGUCCGGGUCCGGAUAACGAAAUUAAAUCCCUACCCAUAAUUGGAAUAAAUUGACGGAUCUGGUCCAGGUCCCGGUUUAGACCCAGACCGUUGACAGGCCUAAGCACAUGCAUUAGCACACUAUGUUAAAUAAGGUUCUUCAGUGGAUUCCACGCUUAACUUACCUCCAAAUUUUGCAAAGCAAUUAAUGUUGGAGGAUUUCUAGAAAUUUGAGUUUAGAUUGUAAAUUAUUUGAGAUAUUUUUACUAUAUCACUUUUUGUGAUGUAAUGUAUGUGAGAUAAAAAGGUAAUUGGGAAGAUAAAAAGGUGUAUUGGAAAUUGUAAUGAUGAUGUAAGCAAAUAUAUUUGGGCAAAUAAUCUCCUGUCCAAACAAAUUUACUCUGUUUUCUACAUAAGGGAAAAACAAUAGAUCAUUUUACAUUUAUUCAGGUCCCUUAGUGCUCUAACACUUGCAAAUAUAAGACGGUCAAUAUAAUAAUAGGGAUUGAACCUUUUCAAGUAGUUUUAAUUACUUCGACUUUUAAAAUUAUAUAUAUAUAUAUACACCAUAAUUGAGCUAAAUACAUUGUACUUGUUUCAAAAUCUAUAUGUCAAGGAACAUAUUUUUCCAAUUUAACCAUUUGCAUCUCUAAAAUGUACCUCGAUGAAAAGGAAAAUAAAUAAAUAAAUCCAUGAUCUUGGAGCAGUUGAUAAGCGGGAUGCUAAUGUCAACGGGAGGUCAUAAAUUGGACUCUUGUAUGUGGCGCUUUGAAAAGCUCUGGUUCAAACAUUCACCUUUGAGUAAGAGUUGAAUUCUGCAAGUACUCUCUGGGUCAAAUCUGGAUUAGACUCCGUGAGGAUGAGGAUACCGGAUGCUCAAAGUCAAAAAAUAAAAAAUAAAUUUUUUUUUUUAAUUCGAGGAAAGGGGAAAAGAGAAUAAAGCUAGAUGCCAGAACUGCUUUUAGUCAUUUCCAUGGACCAAGCCUUGUAAUGGGCUUAAGGUUGGAGCAGCAAAAGCUGUAAGCAGUGGGAGGACGUGGAACAACUAAGGUCGCCUGAGUAACAACUAAGGCCUAGGCCUACAUUUGCCGGUCCAUUGGUAGUGGGCGAAGGAACCAACGCCCACGGACACGGGCCUGAGUUUCCUGAGAGAUCUUUUCAUUAAUUGUUACUUAUGAUGUCGUGCUACUACAAUGCUAUAUUUUUCUCUCGUCUGGACUCAUGUACAGUCCUCCAUUUGGAGCUUGUACAAUUCUGAGUUUUCAGAUUGUGGAAAAAUUUGGAUUCAACACAACCUAUGCAUAUACACCAAACAUUUUACGGUGCACAGCUUCAAACAAUUAAAUUUAUGGGGCAUAGAACCACCAUUAGAAUCUAAAACAUUUAUUAGUCACCAUAAAAAGGCUCGAGUAUUUAAGUAACAAUUAAUGCCCGCAUAUUUUCCAGCAGUCUUAAUUUUGUUUCAACAUCAUUGAGUUGGUUGUUGCAGUAGGCCUGCUUUUGUAGGAAGCAUCAAGAAUGAAGUGAUAGAUCGCUAUUCCGGCUUGGUACUCGUGCAAUAACCAAAAUAUCAGUCAUCAUUCUGUUGUCCACAAAAUUGAUGAUACAGGUUAAAAACAAAAAACAGUAGUAACACUCGGGAAUCCUAUACAGGUUACAGCUGGAAGGAAGAACAGACGGAGACCUGAUAUAAUUCAAAAUAACUGAACGGUUGCGCAAGAGAGCACAGUAAUGUGAAAGUACGUAGGUCCAAGAUGGAAAAUUUCAAGACCACAAAUGGGCGUAGAUAAUCACCAUUAAAUGAAAAAUUUGGAAUACCAAAUUUAUGAUUUAAGAGCUUUUAAUAUCUAAUACGCAAUUUGGGGUGGAACUACUUGGUAAUUCAGUAAGCAAGUAUCUACACUUUCUUUUGAAAGUUUCAACCCUUUGUGAAUUGUGAAAGACGUGGUGAUGCAAGUUUGUUUGGAUUGUGUUUUAUUUGGAAUAUUUUUACUGCAGCACUUUUUGUGAUGUGAUGUGUGUGAGAUAAAAAGGUAAUUGAAAAGAUAAAAAGGUGUAUUGAAAAUUGUAAUAAUGAUGUAAGCAGAUAAAAUUGAGAAAAUAAAACACAAUCCAAACAAACCUUUCAAAACUGUAGCACUUUUUUGAUAUUCGAGUUCUAUCAUCAAUUAUCAAGAAGUUCUAUCAUCAAUUAUCAAGAAGUUGAGCCAUUUGGACUCGGUGUUUGGUAUUUUAUGCCGACGCUUCAGCAUCCUUGGUAUUUGCCGUCAAUGUCAACCCUAACCUCUUCUUUUCUUCUCCAGUCUAUUUUUUUUACCUUACCCCGACUACCAUAUUUACUUACUUACGUAACGAUGCUGUCUAAAGAUAUACUUGCAGCAUUAAAAGGCUCAAUCAAGGAGCGUGAACCUUUAAAAGGCAGAAUGAUUGAUUAGUAGAAACCUUUGCGCGUCCACCCUAGAAAACAGAUUUAGGGACUGAGGACAGAGAGAUCUAUCUAAAAUUAAAGGCGAUCGGUGAAUAAAAAGUGGCGUCUGAAAAAGCAAAUUAUCACCGGAUAAUGUUAUUAGUACAAGAUUAGCGCUAGGAGUAAGGUUACAAUUAUCACCAGAUCCACCUGGAAAAAGAACAGACAAAGGCCUCUAAGGUGGGCGGAUGGAGUCAUUAGGUAAAGUAAGAUGCCAAAACACAUGACUUUGACAUGUCUUUAAUUAUUAAGUUGUUCGUCUUUAACGAUCAUUUGGCUCUAUCCUGAAUGACGUCCAUCCCCAUCUCGGUCGGAUCCGUUGCCUGAACUUCAUAGUGGAUCCCAUCCAGCACUCUCCUCAGUCCAUCUUUUGAAGUUGCGUACAGCAUUUUUGCUCUAAUUCUUGAUUCCUCCGGAGACCUGAUCGAGGAGAUCAUCAACGUACUUGCAACACAUCAACUCAAUUUAACAGAGACAAUAAUGAUCUGUCUAAUUAAUUAGCAAUAAACACAAAAGAUUACUUCUGCAUAGUUGGCCCAUAAAUUUGUUGAAUUCUUGGAGGUAGCUCUAGUCUCUAGCAAUAUUGACAAAAGGGGAAUAAAUGUAUGCUUAAAGAUUGGUAUCAUAUCAGGGGGAACCACCGAUCAAAGAUAAAAGAAGCAGAAGAAAAUCAGUUACUAGAAUGAUAAGCAGGUGGGAGUAGUGGCGGACCAUGCGAUGAAGAAAAUCUUGCUCUUCCGGCAAUUGUCGACGGUGACAAAGUCGAAAUCAAAGACUGCAUAACGGCAGUCGUCUUUGGGCAGGGAGGCAGCAAGUUGUUCGUAGCCUUCACCAGGUCCACCCACCUUGUCCACCGUCACCAACCUAGAACCUUCAUCGAUCUUGAACACUAUGAAUCUGUGCACCUUCUUCCACUUCAUCUCCAUGAACGAAUUCUUGCAUUCCUCCGUUACCCACAUCCCUGUUGUAGCCUAUCAUGCACGCAUAUAAUAUGUUCAACAAAACAAACACGAUGUUGCACACUAAUAAAUAAUUGGGCCUGUGUCUCCUAUACAUAUUGGCUUGAUCUGCAGCUUCAAUAUAUGUGCAUAUGUGUACAUGUAAGCUCGGCCAAAUUAAGACACAAAUUACUAAAGAAGAUGAAUUAUGCAAAGAAAACGAUGAUCAGUGUGCAAGAAUUGAAAGAACGGUAAUUUGAGGGUGCACCAUUUUGAAAGCCAUCGCCAUCUUGUUUGUGGUUGCAAAGUUGAGAGAAGCUGCAGGCGGUCAAUUUGUCAGCUAAGCAGGCGAAUUGAUUUAACAUCCAAGUGUGGAUCGAAUAAAUGGACUAUAGGGGUUUAUAUACAAACUUUACUACCUAAAAAGCCAUUCAGAUUUAUGGUAUAUUACAAAGGUGUCCUCAUGAGAUGAGGUCUAUUUCUUGGCUUCUGUACACUGCCUGUAGUCCUUGGGGGUGGAUCUGAAUGACGGAAAUGACCCUCCAAGGGAGCUCUGGUUGCCUUGGAAAAUGUUGCCUGGUUGGCCAAAUGGAGGAGUUGAACUUUUGAUGUUUUCUAGGCUAUCGGCCUCAAAGAAUGUUUUUUCACACGGGGGCGGGGGUCUUUGUGAAUUAAGCAUAGUUAAAUACUAGUACUACUAAGUACUAAGUAAAUGGAUCAAGGUUAUAUAAUUCUGCAUUGCCCUUGGUUUAUUAUAUAUUUGCCAAUGUUUGAUCUUCUUAGCUACAUAAAGUCAUUGAUGUAUUUCCUGUAAAAAAACCCUCUGCUUUCUGCGCAUCCAUCCUUGAACUCAUCCAUUCGAUCCCAUCUUCUUUCCAGUUCCACUGGACCACGCCAUGGCCAUUAACAUUAUUGCUAAAGUUGAUGGCUUUUUUGCUAGUUGUCAGCGACUCACCAACUUGGGUAUAGUUUAGGUGUUUGAUAUCUGCUGCUCCUGUGUUUGUGUAUUGAAAAUCUUCACCUGUUCAUCAGAUUACCCAAUAUGUAUUUUCAUAUAAAAAUUUCCGGUCAUCUCCAUCGACAACCAAAUUGUAACAGUAAUUUCUGACUGGAAAUCAAAUGGUACAUAUGCGAAACGGUACAUAUCCAUUCUCAUGCUUGAACCUAAAAAAUCUUGCUCAUGAGUCAGAAUUUUAUUAUACAAAAAUACGUUAUAGACCUCGCUCAAUCAAUCAGAGAGAAUACAGUGCAAACAUGUGGUCUCUAGGAAGCGGGCCUCAUCACCGACGGUACACCUACAUGCCCCGCAUUUCCCUCUCUUUGAGUUCCUCAACUCGAAAAGAACCUUGGCGUGGAAGCAAAGGUGAAGAGUCCAUUCGUCCCCCAUCGACAUCGAUUGGUAAUAACAACUACUGUAGCGAUAACAUGUGGUACGUAUACAAAUUGUGUGGAAAGCGGAGCGGUGAAAUUUCUUGGUUUAAAGUAAUUAAAUCAAUGUCUCUUCGAUAGACCUUGAGCUUCCUUUGCCAGCUUUCUUAUCUUUCUUUUGGGCAUUUUUAUGAUUGAGAUCUACGAUCUAUCUAUCACUUUGGUCCCUAAUUUUUUCUAAACUAACUAAUCCCUGAGCACCUUUAGGCAUCCCAUAAAAAGUUUCUAGGAAUUUGGCAGAUAAGAAGAGCGCAGCAUUAUCCUGAUCGUGUUCACAUCGAAAUAGCAGUAUAGCAAAUGCAUAUGUAAGCGGGAUAUGAUUGCAAGAGACAUUCCACGAGCACCACAGAAACAGAGAGAAUGGAGAAAAACAACACAGAGCUUACAAACACUAACGUCUAACAAUGUCUAUCAGAGCAAGUGAACAGACAGAUGAUGGAGUUGGACAUGGGAACGUGUCUCUUUCCUGCGGCUGGCCCCUAUUCAUUCCAUCAAAAGAAACAUAAUAAUAAUAUAACAUCUCCAAACUUAACUGGAUUUGCAGUCCAACGAUUUCAUUGUGAGCUGAUUUGAUAGAUGAGGCAACUUGUAUGAAUAUGAUUUUUUUUUUUCAAAGAAUAGGAAAACAGUACAAAAAUAAGAUGAAAGAGGAAGGAAGUUAAAUGAAGGGAAAAUUGAUCAAAACGUCCCUCACAUUUUGCAAAAUAACUUUUUUUGUCCCUCACUUUUAAAAAUAUAAUUUUACGUCCCUUACAAAUUCAUAUUGGUCAAAUUUGGUCCCUACAUAGGUUUCCGACUAGUUUUUUUAUCGGAAUUCACCACGUGCCUUGCAUGUGAUCAUAUUUUAACGGCAAAUUUGUCAAAUCAAAUUUUAUAUAAUUUGAUUCAUAAUCCCUCACAUUUCAUAAAAUAAAUUUUUUCGUCCUUCACAUUUUUCAAAAUGAAUUUUUUCAUCUUUUAUUGAUCAUGUGUGUGAAUAAUUUUUUUUAAAUCCAUGUAUAUAUUUAUUUGAUUUCACCUGAACAGUACGAAUAGCAUGUCAAAUCAAAUAGAGAUAUAUUACACAUUAUUCGUAUUGCUCAAGUGAAAUCAAAUAGAUAUAUACAUAGGUUUAAAAAAAUUGUUAGUUUUUCACUUAUAUUCAUUUUCUUUUACUCGAAAUUUGAAAAUAAAGAAGACAUUUAAUUCUAAAUAUUAUCGAGUGUUUAUAUCGAAUUAAAUUUGGAUAGCAAAAGUAAACAAAAGAAAAGUAUGACAAAAAGAAAUAAGUGAUUGGCACUUUCAAAUUUUAACACAAUUAUAAGGCAAGUAAUUCAACUGUUGGCCUUAAAAGUGUCGAGUAGAAAUUUCAGAUUUAAACUGAAAUUUUUUAGCACAAUUAUAGAAUUCGAGUUAGGACCCAUUAAUUAGAUGACCUUAUUAUACAACUCAAUAAAUAAAUUAUUACCAAAAGAGAAAUGUCAAUAAUAUUGAAGAGGUUCAAAUGGUGAAAUCAUAUAAAUAUAUACAUGAGUUUCAAACAAAAUUAUUAGUUUAAAACCCCUAUAUAUAUCUAUUGAAUAGCAUGUGUAUAACUACAAUUAGCAUGUUUAGAUGAAAUCCAAUAGAGAUAAAUUACAUGUUAUUCAUACUGUUCAGGUAAAAUUAAAUAGACAUAUACGUGGGUUUAUAGAAAAAAAGCUAUUCGUAUACAUGAUCAAUGAGGGAUGAAAAAAUUCAUUUUAAAAAAUAUGAGAGAUGGAAAAAUUCAUUUUUUGAAAUGUGAGAAACGAAGCAACUCAUUUUGUAAAAUGUUAGGGACAAAAAAAUUCAUUUUGUGAAAUGUGAGGGACUAUGAAUCAGAUUAUGUAAAAAUUCAUAACAAUUUUACCCUUAAAAAAUGAUCACUUGCAAGUCACGUGGUGGAUUUCUACAAAAAUUAGGCGGAAACCUAGUUGGGGACCAAAUUUGAUCAAUGUGAAUUUGUAAGGGACGUAAAAUUACAUUUUUAAAUGCGAUGGACGAAAAAAGUUAUUUUGCAAAAUGUGAGGGACGUUUUAAACGAUUUUCCCUUAAAUGAAUUACGAGGUAAUUGAUCUUUGACACCAAUGGUUAAAAGCGACUUCCUUGCACCUUAAAUGAUCAUUAUGAGUCAAAAUGUUCAGUAAUUUGUGAAAUCACAAAUUCGAUGGUUCCGGGAUACCUGAAUAAAAAUAAAAUAAAAUCCCACCUUCUCGUGGCCAAAGAUAGGGAAGCUGGAUAUAGUUGAUUUAUUUUCUUGCCUGCUUCGUCCCAAAUAUGUCAUGAAUCUUGUGUCGAUUCCAAAUUGGAUGGUUCUCUAACUCAGGUGGAUGUGCUACAGCACGUGUUGGGAAUUGAUUUCUGCUCAAAAUUCUCCUCGCUUGAUUUUCCAACAUUUCCGACAUAUGUUACUAAAUUUGUGAUUUUGCAUGUUGGGAUGUCAAUAAAGUUUCCAAUUUCGUCGCCUUUUGCCAUGAUGAUCCCCAAGGCCUAGCAGAAGCUAAUGAAGGGCUCGGCAGAAAUACGAUAGUCUGACAAGUAUGAAGCUAGCUAACAUCAGUAAUUAAUUCCGUGGCCUAAAAUGAAUCAAACCACCAUGCAAUGUUGAACACCGAGUUUGCACUUUGGCAAGUUUGCUUUCAAGAGGUGCAAUGCCGCCGCUGACACCUCAGAGAUACAGAACAAGACCCAGAUAACUUCUUCAAGAAAGCCUUGUUUUCUUAUUGAAUCUACCUCUGUUGAAAGGAGUCAAAUGAACUAACAAACACAUAUGCACAAUCUUUCCGCCACGCAGUUAAACAUCCAAGUACAAAAUUAAUACAGACACAAGAAAACGUAAACUCUAUACAACCAUUGGUGUUCUAGCACUAAACGCUGAUCUCUGGCUCCUACUUAUUGGGAGGUGAACAUAAACUUCAUGAACCUCUUGUUUACAAACAUCACCCUUGUCCCUAUCAAUGGCAUAGCACACAUAUACGGUGUCAAUCACAUUAUCCAGCACAUGCACAAAGAAGCCCAACACCACCAAGAGCAGUAGCCAUGCCAUAGCAGCAACGAAGUACGCCUCCACACCAAGAUGCCCAACAGCUCUUACUAUAAGACAGACCUGCAUGAGGAAGACAGGAGUACAGCGUGAGAGAAUAAACAGAAACACAUUUACUCUAUAAUACAUAUUUUAAUAUGUAGAGCAAAUAUAACAUCCUGCAGAAUUGAUCCUCCACUAAGCUAAUCUUGAAUGCCCACAGUUAAAUAAGCUUGAAUGCCAAUACCAACAUGUCAAAGCAUAAUGUGAAUAAAAGAAAAAGCAAAACGUCUCUCCCUCUCUCUCUCUCUCUCUCUCUCUCUCUCUCUCCCCCUCUCCCUCUCCCAACACACACACACACACACACAUGCAAGCGCAAAUACACAUGCAGAGACACAUUUUGGUGCAGGUUUUGCAACGGGAAAGGUCCAGAGAGGAUGCUUCAGCAAAGUUCUACCCGCAAUUUAACCAAAAACUUCAUUUAUCCCAUCUCUUGUGAUAAACAACUUCAUCUGGUUGUUUUCAAACUUAAUAUUUGAUGUAGCCUGACUCAAUAAUGAGCAAAAUCUCACGAGUUUCAAUUUUAGCUUGCAGCCAAAAUAGGACAAAGUCUUCCUGGAAGCAAUAUCUAGCCAUGGAUGGUAAAUUGAUUAGGCACGUGUCACAGGCAAAUAAGUCAUAUGAUACUCAUUAUGUUUAUCUUUAUAAAACUAAUCUUUUAAGAUUCGGUGGUUCAGCAAUCCAACAACUAAGUUUAGAUUAUCUCACCAACAUGCAGUUUGCACAAAUAAUUACUUGUUAUGCCUGGUUCAGUCAGAAAAAAUUCAAGCGUAUAUUUUCUUCAAAUGGAAAAUUGACAAGUGACAAAUAGUGAACUCACCACUAUAGCAUAUAGUACUGAAAGAACAAAAAUUAUUCCUGCCAGAACACGAGUGGAGACAGUCUCCACAAAAGCGGCUGAGAGAAGAUUGCGCUUCAACAGUUCAUAGGUCAUCCUUGCAGAGGUGCAGUAAGCUUCACCAGUUAUAGCUGCAAAGUUUAUAGUGAACUUAUUAAGAAAGUCAAAUGCUGCCAUUAGGGCAUUCACACAGCACCGUAGGAUUAGGUUCACAAUUCCAGAAGCAUCUUCAUUCCUUGCAUUGUCAACCAUUGCUCGCACAAAGCGAACAACACCGACAAGCAAUCCAGAUAAACAUACCGUGCCCGAGGAGGGUCCAAAUGCAUUUCUGCACGUUUUCCAAAGAAAAAUGAGACAUUGAACAAAUCAAAUGGAGAAGAUUGCAUAAAAUAAACGCAUCUAAACAGUUUUACAUGCAAUUUGCCUGACAGUCCAUAUGUUAAAUUAAAUUUCUAAGCCAUUAGCACAAUAAAGCAUUAAAACACCAAAGAUGUACAUCAUUUCAGCCCUCCAUAAGUUCAAAAAUAAUUAUCCUUCCUCUUCUCCCUUCAGGUGUUCUGCUUUUACAAGAAAAUAAUGGCAGUGCAACUCCAUUGCUAACAAAAGGUUUGUUCAUAUAUUUUAACAACAAUAGACGAAUUAUCUUCAGUAGUAAUACACUUACUACUAGUGCACUUUUUCAAGUUGUUUUAUCAGUAUGAUAUCCCUUCAAAAGUAAAAACAUGUAUUUGAGUUCUGACAACUAAAUUUUGGAUAAACUGUUGUGUAAUAAGACAAAAGGAUCAAAAGUCAUUUUGGAAGAAAAAUUACUCGUGUGACAAAAGGAAACAUUAAAUUGUAAUAUAUUGAAUCAGGUCAUAUCGCCAAGAUUUUGAAAACUUGUAAAUUACGAUACCUGAAUCUUGCUAAGCAAUCAUUGGCCAAGAAAUUUUGAAGCUUUUCAAGAAAGUGUUAAUUUUGUUUGCAACAGCUGAGCAGAAAAUACAUGCAACUACUUACAUUUGGAGUAGUAGUACCACAAGAAGUCAUUUCAUCCUACAAAAGUUAGAGCAUCUUCUCAAUUACAUUCUUCAAACUGCUUUUGGAGUUCCUAAACCCUUCCACCACCACCCCCCCCCCCCAAAAAAAAAGGAAAAACAAAAAGGUGAUUGGAGUUCCAAGACCAGUGCCUACAAAUGCUAAGGAAGAUUUGGAGAUCCUUCUAGUCUUUCAUUGAAGAAUCCUGGAAUUGCGUAUAAACUAUGCUGACUUCUUCGAGGAUUACUAUCAAAACAAAGUACACUAAUAAGGAUGUAAUCACCAUAUAUAGCCAUUUUGACAGAUAUUGGAAGUACUAAACAGCAAGUAAAAUUCAUCUAAGUGCAACUAAUUUAAGAUACAGCUGUUUUUAUGAUUUCAAACCAAAAUGCUAAAUGAGUGCACAAGCACAAGCAGUAAAAAAUGAAUGUAUUUAAAAAACAAGACAUGAAAAGAUACUUAAGUCCCCUCUCUGUUGCAAGAUCAUCUUUAAGCUAUAUACCUGAUUGAGUAGAAACACAAUUGUCUUACUAAAUUGUCAUCCAGCAUAACUUAAAUAGGAUUUUUCUAUUGUGUGCCGUACGGGCAUGGCAUAAAAUGUAGGCCAACUAUUUUUUGUCUGAAAAAAGUUCCUAAGCAAAUGUAUACGCAACUUAAUUCUAAAGAGGUAUUCAAAUAUUUCCUUUAUCCUGCGAUUUGUAUAAAAAUUCAAACUUUGGGUUCUACUAAUCCAAGGCAGUAACAACGACUCACCUUCAAACCAUAGAAUCAUGACAGUGCAAAUAAUCAAAAGAUUACCAAAAUGACUAACAAGAAUCCAAACAUUUUACCAAGUUUUCUCAACCAACUCAAAAUUCCUUCAGAACUUGAAUUCUUAGGGGUGGUUAAAAGAGAGAGAGAGAGAGAGAGAAUAUAAAAGAGCAGGCCCAGAAAGUAACCUCAAGGCGCUUCUUAAACUUUUCUUGGGCCUAUCAUAAUCCUUGGAGAAGUACCAUUGAGCUAUAGUCCCACUAAUGACAUAAACUUGAGCUUCAAUCAUUGCUGUAGCAGACCAAAGCAUUGUCAAAAUGGCCAAGGCAUAAUAAGCGGGUACCCAACCGUCCUGUUUCCAAACACAAUAGUAUUCACCAUUCUUUUCCUUGGGCACAAUCUUCCCAUUGAAUCUAGCAAAAACCAAGAACACGACAAUGGGUGCAUAAUAUAAAAAUAACCCCGAAGUCAAUCCUGGGAGCACCCCAAACAACCCCAGAUUCUGCCAUAGCCCAUUUGCAGCCACCCCAAUUAUGUUAAUGGUCAACUCAAUCCGAUGCCAAUUGACUACAAAAAUCCAGAUUACCACCCCAAUUAUCAGCAAUAUGAAAACAAAAAUCAAAAUUCGAUAGGCUAAAGGAAGAGCCUCGCUACAUCUAGAGCUGACAUGGCAAGCAACAAACCAGUAGAUAUCCAGAAACACAGGAACUAUCACAAAGAAAGGAAGUGAUAUGUACACUAGCUGCUUGGUGUAAUGCUUGAGCAACAAAAGUACAAACAAAACAAAGGGCACGCUCAAAAUUAAGGUGAUGACAAGGGUCCAUAUCAAGCUCUUCAAAACACUCGAUUUUAAAGCGUUAAUCGAAAUUGGGUUGCUAAAAAAGGAGGGUUGUGUAACUUCGAGAAGGGCGCAAGUGGAGGAGGUGGAAUUGUAGAAAAAAGAGGAGACUUGGGAGUGGUGGGGGUUCCUGUGGACGGAGGCAAAGAUGCCGAAAGCGAAGGUGGCGAGGAUGAGGAGAGAGAAGAGGAGGAGGAAGGGCCAGUCUUUGAAGGGGCGGGGGCCGUAAUUGUAGGAGAUCUGGAGGAGCUGGGAGUGGUCAUCGCUGGGUUGGGAUGUGGUGGGGCGGAGGGUAGCGGGUACGGGUGAUGCGGGGUGGUCUAGAGGAGGAGGAUAAGGCUUGGAGAGGAGAGGUUGGGUGGGAGUGGGGUCUUGGAGAGAGGAAGAGAGUUUGUUGGGGUCUUCUUUGCUGCUGUCCAUGGCAUCAGAAGAUGACUUGGGAGCAGAGGUAUCUGGUGGGGGUUGGUGAGGGAGGAGCACGAGGAGGUGGAGACGGAUUUGGCGGUGGAGUAUUGGCUAAUUCUUUCUACCUGAGUUGGGUUGAGCUCAGCUUAGCUCUCAGCUCAGCUGACAGCAGCUGAGAUGAGAUGAGUUGAGUUGAGUUGGGGGCUGGAGAAGAUAAUCGUGAUCUGAAUGGUCGAUCGGUACAUCAGAUUUUUGACAAUUACCACCACUCACCCUCGUUAUUAGUAGUAUAUCUCUUCUCACUCUGAAGAAUUAAUUAGGCCUAAUAAUUAGUAGCAUUAUUACUUAAAAGUAGCAGCCCCCCUUUUACCAAAGAUGAUUAUUGUGAUUCUGAUCCAGAGUGCCACCCCGCCAUAGAUAGUAAAACUUGUGUCUUCACCUCCAGACAGCACUUGCCUUUCCAUGAAUUUCUGUUUUCUUCGCGGACAAGCAAGGGAGAUUUCAACACUGCAUUGUAUAUCUGUUUUUCAGGAAAAGGACUUAGAAGCUCUCAAGUUUCUUGAAUUCAGAAGAGUUAUUUGUUAGCAGUAAUACGCUUGUAGUAUUGCUUUUGAAAAAAUGUUUCUUCAUGCAAAUAAAUAGAUAGAUAUAAAAAAAUUAAGUCCACAUGGUUAAGUACCUGAUAUGUUCCCAGAACCUUCAAAAUAGGGAACAUCCAGUAAUCAUGGCUUGAUAUAAUAAUAAGUAAUAAUAAUAAUAAUAAUAACUUUAAAAUAAAGAACAAAUUAAUGUGGAUCGUUUACUAUUUGAGUCCAGAGAAACCAACAAAAAUUGCUCCCGGGAAGAAACAAAGGCUGUUGUAUUAUAAAGUUGGCAGUAUAGUCUAAUGAACAUGAUACAAAACACUAAAAAUGUCUGUAAAACAAUCUAUGCCGAAUAUGUCAGUUUUACGAUCCAAAACUUCCUGCCGGUUGUCAUCCCGACAUACUAGUGGCUGCAUUGCUGUUGUCCUCAUCCCACCGGCUCUUAGGUAUCUCUCCAGAAUCCACAAUAAUUACUUUCUUCCUGGGUUUCCCACUGUAGGUGCCUGC
rnacentral:lncRNA from 1 species